CCUACGGGUGGCAGCAGUGAGGAAUAUUGGUCAAUGGACGAGAGUCUGAACCAGCCAGUUAGCGGGAGGGAGGACUUCCCUAUGGGUUGUAAACUUCUUUUAUAUGGGAUUAAAAUUUUCACCUUGUGGAUUUUUGUAUGUCCAAUAUGAUUCAGACUGGCCAAAGUCCGUGCAAGCGUCCGCGGUAAUCCGGGGUUUCCGAGCGUUAUCCGAAUUUAUUGGGUUUAAGGGGUGCACAGGCGGAAGAGAAAGUCAGGGGUAAAAUUGAGAGGCUCAACCUCUCCGAGCGGUUGAAACUGGUUUUCUAGAGUGAUGGAGAAGUAUGCGGAAUGCGUGGUGUAGCGGUG
rnacentral:rRNA from 1 species